AGAUAUCCCGUGACGAAGAACCAUUCUU
rnacentral:sRNA from 1 species